CCUACGGGAGGCAGCAGUGGGGAAUAUUGGGCAAUGGGCGCAAGCCUGACCCAGCAACGCCGCGUGAAGGAAGAAGGCUUUCGGGUUGUAAACUUCUUUUCUCAGGGACGAAGAAAGUGACGGUACCUGAGGAAUAAGCCACGGCUAACUACGUGCCAGCAGCCGCGGUAAUACGUAGGUGGCAAGCGUUAUCCGGAGUUACUGGGUGUAAAGGGCGUGUAGGCGGGACUGCAAGUCAGAUGUGAAAACCACGGGCUCAACCUGUGGCCUGCAUUUGAAACUGUAGUUCUUGAGUACUGGAGAGGCAGACGGAAUGCCUAGUGUAGCGGUGAAAUGCGUAGAUAUUAGGAGGAACACCAGUGGCGAAGGCGGCUUACUGGACUGUAACUGACGUUGAGGCUCGAAAGCGUGGGGAGCAAACAGGAUUAGAUACCCGGGUAGUC
rnacentral:rRNA from 1 species